rnacentral:rRNA from 1 species
CCGAUAGUGAACCAGUACCGUGAGGGAAAGGCGAAAAGAACCCCGGCGAGGGGAGUGAAAAAGAACCUGAAACCGUGUACGUACAAGCAGUGGGAGCACAGGUUUACCUGUGUGACUGCGUACCUUUUGUAUAAUGGGUCAGCGACUUAUAUUCUGUAGCAAGGUUAACCGCAUAGGGGAGCCGGAGGGAAACCGAGUCUUAAUUGGGCGUUAAGUUGCAGGGUAUAGACCCGAAACCCGGUGAUCUAGCCAUGGGCAGGUUGAAGGUUGGGUAACACUAACUGGAGGACCGAACCGACUAAUGUUGAAAAAUUAGCGGAUGACCUGUGGCUGGGGGUGAAAGGCCAAUCAAACCGGGAGAUAGCUGGUUCUCCCCGAAAGCUAUUUAGGUAGCGCCUCGUGAAUUCAUCUCCGGGGGUAGAGCACUGUUUCGGCUAGGGGGCCAUCCCGGCUUACCAACCCGAUGCAAACUGCGAAUACCGGAGAAUGUUAUCACGGGAGACACACGGCGGGUGCUAACGUCCGUCGUGAAGAGGGAAACAACCCAGACCGCCAGCUAAGGUCCCAAAGUCAUGGUUAAGUGGGAAACGAUGUGGGAAGGCCCAGACAGCCAGGAUGUUGGCUUAGAAGCAGCCAUCAUUUAAAGAAAGCGUAAUAGCUCACUGGUCGAGUCGGCCUGCGCGGAAGAUGUAACGGGGCUAAACCAUGCACCGAAGCUGCGGCAGCGACACUGUGUGUUGUUGGGUAGGGGAGCGUUCUGUAAGCCUGUGAAGGUGGCCUGUGAGGGUUGCUGGAGGUAUCAGAAGUGCGAAUGCUGACAUAAGUAACGAUAAAGCGGGUGAAAAGCCCGCUCGCCGGAAGACCAAGGGUUCCUGUCCAACGUUAAUCGGGGCAGGGUGAGUCGACCCCUAAGGCGAGGCCGAAAGGCGUAGUCGAUGGGAAACGGGUUAAUAUUCCCGUACUUGGUGUUACUGCGAAGGGGGGACGGAGAAGGCUAUGUUGGCCGGGCGACGGUUGUCCCGGUUUAAGCGUGUAGGUGUGUGUUCCAGGUAAAUCCGGU